AGAGAGAGAGAGAGAGAGAGAGAGAUGGGUGGAGUUUUGUUCAGUCCGCACUGAUCUGAAUUGCAGUACGGGAAAUUCAAUUUCAAAUGCACCGACAGAGGAAGCGCGCUUCGCAAUGUCCGCCGAUUUUGCUCCGCCUUACAAGUUUUCGAUUCUGGAGUAGGUUGUGACCCCACCCAUCAAGACAAUAGGUAAGGGAAACCCUCAAAUGGCUCACAGACCACAUAAGGGUUUAGGGCCAAGAUUGAGAAGUGUCGUUAUACGACCGAGUAGAACGAUGCAUCAUCCAACACACUAAGAGUGUGCAUUGAAGAUAAGUUGAGGCAUAUGCAAAGUUGGAGAGAACAAGGUGACACAAGUGUCGAAGACAAGCUCAAAGAGGAUCGGCUGGGACGGGUUCCCAUAUUUAGAACAUUAUAUAUGGUGUACAACAAGAGCAAAGUAAAUUAGGUCGAAUGAAAGCGCCAAAGCAGUAGCUUUCUCCAUGAUUAUUAGCCAACUUUGGUUAAAGAAUUAGAUUUUUCCAAUUGAAAUAGUGUAACAUCCCAAACCU